rnacentral:rRNA from 1 species
UACGAAGGUCCCGAGCGUUGUUCGGAAUCACUGGGCGUAAAGGGAGCGUAGGCGGCGCGGUAAGUCAGAUGUGAAAUCCCGGGGCUCAACCCCGGAACUGCAUCCGAUACUGCCGUGCUAGAGGAUUGGAGAGGUAGCUGGAAUUCUUGGUGUAGCAGUGAAAUGCGUGGAUAUCAAGAGGAACACUCGUGGCGAAAGCGAGCUACUGGACAACUCCUGACGUGAGGCUCGAAGGCCAGGGUAGCGAAAGGG